GAUGAACGCUGGCGGCGUGCCUAAUACAUGCAAGUCGAGCGAACAGACGAGGAGCUUGCUCCUCUGACGUUAGCGGCGGAAGGGUGAGUAACACGUGGAUAACCUACCUAUAAGACUGGGAUAACUUCGGGAAACCGGAGCUAAUACCGGAUAAUAUAUUGAACCGCAUGGUUCAAUAGUGAAUGACGGUUUUGCUGUCACUUAUAGAUGGAUCCGCGCCGCAUUAGCUAGUUGGUAAGGUAACGGCUUACCAAGGCAACGAUGCGUAGCCGACCUGAGAGGGUGAUCGGCCACACUGGAACUGAGACACGCACCAGACUACUACGGGAGGCAGCAGUAGGGAAUCUUCCGCAAUGGGCGAAAGCUUGACGGAGCAACGCCGCGUGAGUGAUGAAGGUCUUCGGAUCGUAAAACUCUGUUAUUAGGGAAGAACAAAUGUGUAAGUACCUAUGCACGUCUUGACGGUACCUAAUCAGAAAGCCACGGCUAACUACGUG
rnacentral:rRNA from 1 species